AGAACGAACGCUGGCGGCAGGCUUAACACAUGCAAGUCGAGCGCCGUAGCAAUACGGAGCGGCAGACGGGUGAGUAACGCGUGGGAACAUACCCUCCGGUUCGGAAUAACUCAGGGAAACUUGAGCUAAUACCGGAUACGGCUUAGCGGCGAAAGAUUUAUCGCCGGAGGAUUGGCCCGCGUCCGAUUAGCUAGUUGGUGUGGUAACGGCGCACCAAGGCGACGAUCGGUAGCUGGUCUGAGAGGAUGAUCAGCCACAUUGGGACUGAGACACGGCCCAAACUCCUACGGGAGGCAGCAGUGGGGAAUAUUGGACAAUGGGCGCAAGCCUGACCCAGCCAUGCCGCGUGAGUGAUGAAGGCCUUAGGGUUGUAAAGCUCUUUCACCCACGACGAUAAUGACGGUAGUGGGAGAAGAAGCCCGGCUAACUUCGCGCCAGCAGCCGC
rnacentral:rRNA from 1 species